GAAAGCCUUUGGCUUAACCAAAGAAGUGCAUCGGAAACUGUCAGACUUGAGUGCAGAAGAGGACAGUGGAACUCCAUGUGUAGCGGUGGAAUGCGUAGAUAUAUGGAAGAACACCAGUGGCGAAGGCGGCUGUCUGGUCUGCAACUGACGCUGAGGCUCGAAAGCAUGGGUAGCGAACAGGAUUAGAUACCCUGGUAGUCCAUGCCGUAAACGAUGAGUGCUAGGUGUUGGAGGGUUUCCGCCCUUCAGUGCCGCAGCUAACGCAUUAAGCACUCCGCCUGGGGAGUACGACCGCAAGGUUGAAACUCAAAGGAAUUGACGGGGGCCCGCACAAGCGGUGGAGCAUGUGGUUUAAUUCGAAGCUACGCGAAGAACCUUACCAGGUCUUGACAUCUUGCGCCAACCCUAGAGAUAGGGCGUUUCCUUCGGGAACGCAAUGACAGGUGGUGCAUGGUCGUCGUCAGCUCGUGUCGUGAGAUGUUGGGUUAAGUCCCGCAACGAGCGCAACCCCUUGUUACUAGUUGCCAGCAUUCAGUUGGGCACUCUAGUGAGACUGCCGGUGAC
rnacentral:rRNA from 2 species